rnacentral:rRNA from 1 species
GACGAACGCUGGCAGUGUGCUUUACACAUGCAAGUCGAGCGGAUUUCUCUGUUUGUAGCAAUACAAACGGAGGAAUCGAGCGGCAAACGGGUGAGUAAUGGAUAGGUAAUCUACCAUAAUGACUGGGAUACCCCCUUGAAAAAGGGAUCAAUACCAGAUAAUGUCAGUUUAAAUACUUUUAAGCUGAAGAAAGAUGGCCUAAAGCUAUCACAUUAUGACGAGCCUAUCUCCUAUCAGCUUGUUGGUGAGGUAAUGGCUCACCAAGGCUAUGACGGGUAGCUGGUCUGAGAGGAUGGUCAGCCACACUGGAACUUAGACACGGUCCAGACUCCUACGGGAGGCAGCAGUGGGGAAUCUUGGGUAAUGGGCGAAAGCCUGACCCAGCGACACUGCGUGGGUGAUGAAGAUCUUUGGAUUGUAAAACCCUUUUCCUGAAGAUGAAAGGUAGGAUUGAGAAUAUCCUUCCUACCCUGACAGUAUUCAGGGAAUAAG